ensembl:miRNA
AAAAAGUUCAUUCAAGUUUUCCUGUAACAUCGUAUGGAAAAGCCCAGAUGAACUUUUUG